rnacentral:lncRNA from 1 species
CCUUCGGACACGGCGGCGGCGGCGAGCUGGGAGAUUUGGUGAGCGGCGAGAGCGGGCUCGGAGUAGCUGAGGGCGGAGAAGACGGCUCCGGCGAGGGCGGUGCUUGUGACGGCGAGGGAGGCUGUGGGUUUUGGUGGAGUUGGGAGGGUGAUGAAGUGUUUUGAGGAGGAGAUGGGUUUGGUUUGGUUUAGGGGUUUAGGAGGAGAUGUGUUCAGGGACA